UGACCAACAGCCUGCCUGUGCUGCCCACGGGACGCACCGUGACCUUUUCACCCUUCAGCGGACGGGCAGAUGUGUCGCCACGGGACUUGGGGUGGCCUGGCAUAUAUGUGAGAGUCGCCAAGCAGGAUGUCAUGGUGUCCAUGGCUAACCUGGUGCGUGUGCAGCAGGCGCUGUUCCCACCAAGCAGGGGGAUGAUGGAGGCGAUCUAUGGCAUGGGGAUGACCGACACGGUGCGCUUUCUGCGCAGGGAACGCUGGUCUCAAUAAAUGCAGAUGCGCUGGCAGGGCCUCUCCAAGGAUCAGUCUUGCUACCCUCCUGUCUGAGUGUACAACAUGGCAUCAGCAAUGACUCGCAAAGGAAUACCUUCAACUCUCACAUGGACACCAUAUGUCUGCUGCCGCACACGGUCCAUGUUGAAAUUGCUGGGCAUGUUGGCUGAGGAUAGCCCCAGCAUGAGUGAUGGGGCUGGGAGUCACUCAUAUCAGAAGUAUCCAGUGUUUUCUUAGGGCUACCCCCCACACACCCUACAUUGUUGCACACGUGUGUGUUUCAUGUAUAUGUCUGUUACAUAUAUGUGGUUCUAAUUGCCAACAUGUCUGUGUUUGAUUUUCUGAGAUAUACAUAUAUGUGUAUAUGUGCAUAUAUGUAUAUAUAUGUAUGCAUAGGUAUGUACAUGUGUGUAUAUAUAUGCCUAUGAAUAUUUUAUAAGCAUGUUUGUGUGCAUAAGUAUCUGUAGAAAUACAUGUAUAUAGGUAUGUAUAUGUAAUAUCUGUGUAUGUG
rnacentral:lncRNA from 1 species